rnacentral:lncRNA from 1 species
AACAAAGAAGCCAAAAUAACUCACAUGAGUUUUUAUGCAAGAUUUCAGACUGCAUCCUAUCACAAGGAUAAAUGCAUCUGUACACUCAUAAUAUAAAAAAUGUUAGAGGAAAACAGCUAAACUACACCAGUCUUUAAAUUGCACAGUGGUGCUAAAAGCUAAGCACCUUGGUAUAAUUAAUUAUUGCCUCAGCCAGGUGUGCAUGCCAUAAUGUAAUUGGGGUGCAUUACCUUAUUUGGGAGAUGCCUGACAGCUCAAGGACCAUUGUAACACAGCACAGAGGGAACCCAGAAUUAUUAUGUGCCUGCAGUACAUAUUUUAGC